UACGGAGGGGGGCUAGCGUUUGUUCGGAAUUACUGGGCGUAAAGCGCACGUAGGCGGCUUUGUAAGUUAGAGGUGAAAGCCCGGGGCUCAACUCCGGAACUGCCUUUAAGACUGCAUCGCUAGAAUUGUGGAGAGGUAAGUGGAAUUCCGAGUGUAGAGGUGAAAUUCGUAGAUAUUCGGACGGAACACCAGUGGCGAAGGCGACUCACUGGCCCGAUACUGACGCUGAGGCGCGAAAGCGUGGGGAGCAAACAGG
rnacentral:rRNA from 1 species